GUGCGUUUCGUGGAAGGGAAGUUAUUUAUUAUGUCCUAACUGCAUUCAAGGGUAUGUCAUCUAACAGUUAUAAAGAAAACCAAACUGGGGAAAUAAAACCCUGAUAACGAUUAUUUCUUUUAAGGCACGACAAAAUGAUCAUGUAAAAGUAAGCAUUAACACAAAGGACUGAUUCAAAAGCGGCAUGGCCAAGGCAAGUCUUGAAUUAAGUCAAACAUUUUUUUUAUUGGAAUUGAAAUUUAAUUACCCUAUUUGAAGAAGGUUUGUGUUUAUGAAAAAUACUGAUAACAUUUUCUUUAUUUAUUAGAGGGCUUUUAUGUUAUAGAUGAUAUACAAACUGCAUGUCCUCAUAGAAAAGCGUGUGGGAUUUAAAAGUCAAACGCGGUAAUAAAUGCUAGCAGUAAAGCUAAUUUUAAACAUCGUGAAAGACGUCACAGACGACACGUGGAAUAAAUUGAAAAAGGACUGGAUGACAGAUAAUAGGCUAUUCAAGUAGGUUGCUGAUAUCUUAUAGAUAAUGGGUUGGACGUUGUAUCAGCUGUCAAAACACUGCAGGGAACUCAGUGAAGGAAGGGUGAAUUGUUAAAAAAAACUGAGAAAAAUUGCACACGACGGAGAAGAUCAGAUUCAUAAAAACUUAUAUGGUCAUAUCUUCUACGUGUCUAGCCAUGAUGUCAUAGUAAAACAUUUGUAAAUGUUACCUAUGUGCAAUAAAGAACGCUGAUACAAAAUAUUUUUUUCAAUUUUGAGAAGACAUUGAAUCAUAACUGAAAUGGCGAACAACCACAGACGGUUUCAUGUUGAUCCAACAUUGAAGUAUCAACAUUGACUUUAAUGCAUGAACAAGAACCAUUCUGAGUAAAAUUGUGCACCUUGCUUCUGUUUCAAGACUUAAUGAAUGUCGGAUUAAACAAUGCUGAAGUGCAAAAGUACGAAAUCAGCUAACGUCGAUGUAAAUAGAUGUAGAAAAAGGUAUGCUACAAUUGUUUCAGACGAAUGCAAGGUGAAAUGAAGUUUAUUCAGAUUUGUUUGUUUUGGUUUUGCAAGUUGUUUGAUUUUCGUUGUGAAUGGGUUAUCAUGCGAGUUGUAUGAGUGCUAUUUUAGUGAUAGUACAUGUAUAUAAACGACUGGUUUUAGGUGUUAGUGGUCAGAUUGGGUUUGGCAUUGUGCAUGGAAAGGAAAACAUGCUACCUGGCUGAUGUGCAAGAUGCCACGUUUAACAGAUCCUAGACAUUCUGAAGUAGGCGUCCGGUUAGAUAUAGGACUGAUAUAGAACGGGUAGCCACUGAAUGAAGGGCGCUGUUAAGCAUGCAUGUGUCUUUUCCUAGCCGGUAAACGUGUUUUGUUUGUAUUUUUGUAGGGCGUAUGUUCAGGAUUUUUUCAUAAAUUUAUAGUUCUUAAUUUUAGUAGUAAUUAGUUAGGAUUCUGUUAAGCAGGCAUGUGUAAUUUCUAACUGGUAAGCCUGUUUUGUUGGUAUUUUAGUAGUUCGUUUGUACACUUAUAUAGUGUUCUUGGUUUUUUUUUACUGUAGCUAGUUUUUUUUUACAAAAAAAGAAGUGCAUGGGUAGUAUAUAAUCCACUGUAGACGGACAGGAAAUGUGUACAGUACGAGAGUCAGCUCUAUGGAAGACCAUUCGAGUAGUUAUCAAAAUGGAAAGAGUGUGGUAGGCUUUCGUUGAAGACGACCGAGAAUUAGAGACUUUCAAUUUCAGGGUUAUGGUGGGAAUUUGACGUCAUGCAGGAAACCUGUCGAAAGUUGGUUCCGGUUUAUGGAGGGCGUGUUUAGCACGAGUUGGCGGUAAACCAGAAUAAAAUGUCUUUCAGUUUGUCCUAACUUAAUAGAAGCGAAUCAAGUGACUCAAGAUUUAAUUUUUUAAAAUAUCUAUAUACAAAGUGAAAUUUUGAGUUACUGGGACCUUUUUCCAAAAUUCUACUGCUUUGACCAUUUUGUUUAACUCAAGUGUCUCAACACUUGCCAUGUCUUUUCAUUAUAUAUGUAAAAAUACUCUAAUGAAUUGUUAGUAUAACCAAUAUUGCUCUAUUUGUUUAUACGUUUAUAUAAAUAUAUAUACAUGUAUAUUCCGUGUUUGGGUGUGGAGUUUUCUGUUUCGCUUUCUGUGAUUUUUAAAAAUAACUGCUUUGUUUAUUCUACAUUUUUCAAUCUCUAGCAAAAUUAAAAAGAAUUUGCUACAUAUCCAUUUUCCAAAGUUGUCACCUAAAUAUUUAGAAUGAGAUUUUAUAUGAUUUUGUUUACCGUAUGGCAUCAACAAACUUUCCCUGGGAUCCCAGAUUCCAGCCAUAGCUUUGACAUAGAAGAGCAAAAUAAUAAUCUCUUCGCUCGGGAUGGCGUUGUCGAAUUUCCAUUGCUGUUUUGUAUUUUUCUUCACCUUGUGCAUAAUCGCCCUACAAAAGAAGUCGCAAGCAUAAUCCUUAAAAACUACAAUGUAUAUACGAUCUAAAAAAAGAAA